ensembl:snoRNA SNORD29 Small nucleolar RNA SNORD29
UUUCUAUGAUGAAUCAAACUAGCUCACUAUGACUUAAACAGUGAAAAGACAUGAACAUCUGAGAAAC